CCUACGGGAGGCAGCAGUGAGGAAUAUUGGUCAAUGGGCGCGAGCCUGAACCAGCCAAGUAGCGUGAAGGAUGACUGCCCUAGGGGUUGUAAACUUCUUUUAUAAAGGAAUAAAGUGAGGCACGUGUGCCUUUUUGUAUGUACUUUAUGAAUAAGGAUCGGCCAAAUAUGUGCCAGCAGCAGCGGUAAUACGGAGGAUCCGAGCGUUAUGCGGAUUUAUUGGGUUUAAAGGGAGCGUAGAUGGGUUGUUAAGUCAGUUGUGAAAGUUUGCGGCUCAACCGUAAAAUUGCAAUUGAGACUGGCAGUCUUGAGGACAGUUGAGGUAGGCGGAAUUCGUGGUGUAGCGGUGAAAUGCUUAGAGAUCACGAAGAACUCCGAUUGCGAAGGCAGCUUACUAAACUGCCACUGACAUUGAUGCUCGAAAGUGUGGGUAGCAAACAGGAUUAGAUACCCGGGUAGUC
rnacentral:rRNA from 1 species